rnacentral:tRNA from 1 species
GAGAGAGUCUUGCCAGAAACAAAGACUGCUAAUCCUUGUCCCCUCGGUUGGAUCCCGAAGCUCCCUCG